ensembl:lncRNA
CAUGCACACACAGUGACACACACAGUGACACACACACCAACACCCCAUCAUCAUCAUAACGCUGAAUGCAUGCAUUUAUGCAAAGCGACACAGCAGGUGUCAGAAACUGCCAUCUACAGAAGAUCGUUUGUUAUCGUGGACCGUUCCACUACGUUUCCCUGGGAAGCCCUAAUUACUGCUCCGUUUGUCAUACACUGGUCACAAAGGGGACGGAUAGGCAUAGUGUUUACACAGUAAAGAGACCCAUCAAUGCAACCAUGGUGGCAGAGGUUUCAAGGUUAAUCCAGACACUCUUGUAAAAAGGUAAACACUGAAAGGGGGGCGGCGCCAGAGCACAGCGUGACUGACGGGGUCAACCAGCCGGCCAGACUCCAUCACAGACCAAUGUCCCUGCUAAGUUUGCGAUGCCUCAGGCGCAGCGGACUGAAAGAAUAACUCUGGAUUCGGAGCGGAGCUGAAGGAGCUGAAACCGACAGGUGAUGGUGACGGUUCGCCCAGCGGAGGUAUUUUUAGGGACGUUUCCCAUGGCGACCGGGCCAAGCCACCAGACACAACUCCUGUGAAUCCCAUCAGCCAUCAGUGGAGCUGUGCUACAGCAGGGCCUGGGGGUGGGACUCACACUCAUGCACAAACACACACACACACACACGCGCACACACACACACACACACACACACAGACACGCGCACACACAUAGACACACGCACACACGCACAUAAAUGCAUAGACACAAACACACACACAGUGUAAAAUCUGCCAAUCUGGACCUAGACCAUGGGUAGAGUGUGUGAAAUGCAGGAAGGGCGCAGCUGAAGAGUGAUCUUCUACGGUUGAAGUUGCAUACGUGUGGGGCAGCAGAGAAGAUGGCCCUUGUCAGGACUCAGGAGGACAACCCUGGAGCUGUCCUAUGUCAUGUAGAACCUGGCACCAUUCUCUCUCUCUCUCUCUCUCUCUCUCUCUCUCUCUCUCUCUCUCUCU